rnacentral:rRNA from 1 species
AUGGUCGCCGAGCUCCAGCCGUUCGUCGGCGGUGACAAGGCCAUCCUCCUGCGCUUCUCGUCGGAAGUCGGAGAGUGGGUCAGCAAGUACGUCGGCUACCCGCUUCCUGCCAGGAUUCUGUGCCCCAACCGCGUGGUCUCGCACGCCGGGAGGCUCUGGUGGGUCGACCUCUCCUGGUGCCUCCUCACCUGCCACCCCUUCGAGGACGCGCCGGUGCUGAGAGUCGUCCCGCUGCCGGAGGGCAAGGCGCUCAAGCCCAGGGAAGCUUGGGGAUUGCUUGACAAGUACCGAUGCGUACGUGUCAGCGCCGGCAAGCUGCGGUUCGUGGACAUGUACUCCAGGAACCGUGACAGCCGCGGCGCUACACAGAUCAGCGUCUGGACGCUCGCCGAUCCUGACACCACGGAGUGGACGCUGGAGUAUGAGGCCACCUUUAAGGAGAUCUGGGACGACGCGAGCUACAAGGCGACUGGUCUGCCCAGGAAGAUCCCCGUGCUUGCGCUCAUCCACCCCACCAACCCGGACGUGGUCUACUUCUUCCUCGACGAGCAUCUGCUCGGUGUCAACGUGCGUGCUCGCAAGGUUGUGGAGUGUGAGGUCUACGAGCUGGUUGCACCGCCUAGCGAGCACGUCGUCACCCGUUUCAUUCACGCUUGGCAGCUGCCACCGGCUCUCUGCUCAGGUAACCGUAAUUCUACUGUCUUUUUUCGUUGA